UAUAUUGAGAGUUUGAUCCUGGCUCAGGAUGAACGUUGGCGGCGUGAUUAAGGCAUGCAAGUCGAGCGAUCGGUAUUGACUUCGGUUGAUAUACGGAGCGGCAAACGGGUGAGUAACACAUUAGUAAUCUACCUUCGAGACGGGAAUAGCCCAUUGAAAAAUGGAUUAAUGCCCGAUAGCCAUGGGGGGUCAUAUGACCCGCCCAUGUAAAUCCUUCGGGGCUUGAAGAGGAGCUUAUGUCUGAUUAGCUAGUUGGUAGGGUAAAGGCCUACCAAGGCUAUGAUCAGUAGCAGGCGUGAGAGCGUGACCUGCCUCACUGGGACUGAGACACUGCCCAGACUCCUACGGGAGGCUGCAGUCGUGAAUAUUCCGCAAUGGACGAAAGUCUGACGGAGCGACGCCGCGUGCAGGAAGACGCCCUUCGGGGUGUAAACUGCUUUUAUAUGGGAAGAAUUUG
rnacentral:ncRNA from 1 species